rnacentral:rRNA from 1 species
ACUCCUGCGGGAGGCAGCAGUGGGGAAUUUUGGACAAUGGGCGAAAGCCUGAUCCAGCAAUGCCGCGUGUGUGAAGAAGGCCUUCGGGUUGUAAAGCACUUUUGUCCGGAAAGAAAUCCUUGGCUCUAAUACAGUCGAGGGAUGACGGUACCGGAAGAAUAAGCACCGGCUAACUACGUGCCAGCAGCCGCGGUAAUACGUAGGGUGCGAGCGUUAAUCGGAAUUACUGGGCGUAAAGCGUGCGCAGGCGGUUUGCUAAGACCGAUGUGAAAUCCCCGGGCUCAACCUGGGAACUGCAUUGGUGACUGGCAGGCUAGAGUAUGGCAGAGGGGGGUAGAAUUCCACGUGUAGCAGUGAAAUGCGUAGAGAUGUGGAGGAAUACCGAUGGCGAAGGCAGCCCCCUGGGCCAAUACUGACGCUCAUGCACGAAAGCGUGGGGAGCAAACAGGAUUAGAAACCCUAGUAGUCCCAUGAU